rnacentral:rRNA from 1 species
AUUGAACGCUAGCGGCAGGCCUAACACAUGCAAGUCGAGGGGUAGAACACUUCGGUGUUUGAGACCGGCGCACGGGUGCGUAACGCGUAUGCAAUCUACCUUGUACAGGGGAAUGGCCCAGAGAAAUUUGGAUUAAUGCCCCAUAGUAUAUAACCUUCGCAUGUUGGUUAUAUUAAAGUUCCAACGGUACAAGAUGAGCAUGCGUGCCCAUUAGUUAGUUGGUAAGGUAACGGCUUACCAAGACGAUGAUGGGUAGGGGUCCUGAGAGGGAGAUCCCCCACACUGGUACUGAGACACGGACCAGACUCCUACGGGGGGCAGCAGUGAGGAAUAUUGGUCAAUGGUCGCAAGACUGAACCAGCCAUGCCGCGUGCAGGAAGACGGUCCUAUGGAUUGUAAACUGCUUUUAUACAGGAAGAAACCCUCCCACGUGUGGGAGCUUGACGGUACUGUAGGAAUAAGGAUCGGCUAACUCCGUGCCAGCCGCCGCGGUAAUAC